AAGUUAUGUUUGUAAAGUUUGAUUCUGGCUUAUAAUUUAGAAUUCAUUGUCCAAUAAUUGUACAUGCGAGUUUUUGCGAGUUUUCUUGUUCUAAAAGAUUUUGUAUUUAUUUUAUUUGCAGUUCUUAAUUUUAAGAUUUAAGUAAUCUUAGAUUUAGUUAAUUGGUUUAAUCCUGACAAAGGUUGUGCCAGCAUUCGCGGUUAUACAUCCGGGGUGAAUGAAUUUAUUUUGGUAUAUAAUUUAAUUGUAUAUAUUUAUAAUUAUUAUUAAAUUUUUAGGUAAAAUUGGAAAUUUAUAGAAUUUAUAAGUUUUGAUUUAAAUUAGAAAAUUCAAAUUUAAACUAGGAUUAGAUACCCUAUUAUUUAGAAUUGUUAAUUAUUUACCUUAGUAUUAAUAGUUAUGUUCUUAAAAUUAAAAGAAUUUGGCGGUAAUUUAGUCUUUCUAGAGGAACCUGUCCUAUAAUUGAUAAUCCACGAUGAAUUUUACUUUAUUUAUUGCUUGUAUACCUCUGUCAUGAAUGUUUUAUUAGGAAAAUUUUCUGUAAUCUUUAUGAGAAAAAUGUCAGGUCAAGGUGUAGCUAUAAUAAAGAAGAGAUGGGUUACAUUUAAAUAUAUUAAUGGAUUUAAUUAUGGAAAUAUUAAUGAAAUUGGAUUUAGAAGUAAAUGUUAUUAGAAUAUAACAUUGAUAUUCUGCUCUGAAUUAUGCACACAUCGCCCGUCACUCUCAUUGAAUAUGUUUAAGAUGAGAUAAGUCGUAACAAAGUAGGCCUACCGGAAGGUGGGCCUAGUUAGU
rnacentral:ncRNA from 1 species